rnacentral:rRNA from 1 species
AAAGACCCCAGAACCUUUACUGCAUUCUGGUAUUGAAUUUGGAUAUUGAUUGUGUAGGAUAGCUAGGAGGCUGUGAAGUUCCGGCGUUAGCCGGGAUGGAGCCAACGGUGAAAUACUAGCCUGUUGAUGUCUAGAUUCUAACCUUGUCCUGUGAAACCAGGCAGGAAACAGUGCCAGAUGGGCAGUUUGACUGGGGCGGUUCCCUUCUAAAGAAUAACGAAGGGGUCCAAAGGUUCACUCAAGACGGUCGGCAAUCGUCUGUAGAGUGCAAAAGCAUAAGUGAGCCUGACUGCGAGUCCGACAGGACGAGCAGGCACGAAAGUGGGGUUUAGUGAUCCGGUGGUUGAAUGUGGGAUUGCCAUCGCUCAACGAACAAUAGGUACUCUGGGGAUAACAGGCUGAUCGCGCUCGAGAGUUCAUAUCGACAGCGCGGAUUGGCACCUCGAUGUCGGCUCAUCCUAUCCUGGGGCUGUAUAAGGUCCCAAGGGUCCGGCUGUUCGCCGGUUAAAAGGGUACGUGAGCUGGGUUUAGAACGUCGUGAGACAGUUCGGUCUCUAUCUGGUGUGGGCGUACGAUCAUUGAAGAAAAGAUCUCCUUAGUACGAGAGGACCGGGAGAUACGAACCUCUGGUGUUCCAGUUAUCCUGCCAAGGGUAAUGGCUGGGUAGCCAUGUUCGGAAGGGAUAAGCGCUGAAUGCAUAUAAGUGCGAAGCCCGUUUCAAGAUGAAUGAUCGAUCCCCCGCAAGGGGGUGAAGGCACGUUGUAGACUACGACGUUGAUAGGCAGCAUGUGUAAGAUCCGUAAGGAUUUAAGCUAAGCUGUACUAAUCUGCCAAAUGCUUGAUCUU